rnacentral:tRNA from 1 species
GGCUCCGUAGCUCAGCCUGGUCAGAGCACUGGACUCUUAAUCCAGGUGUCGCGGGUCCGAAUCCCGUCGGGGCCA